AUGGGAAGAGCUGCAAAGGCACAUUGUGCGGUGUUCUUUUCUCUAACAGAGAUGCCACAUGAGGGGAAAAAAACCCCACACUGGCUUGCUGAUCUUGAGAUCCUACUGGGUGCUGUCCAGACCCAUGAAGACAUCACCAGUUCUAAGGAAGAUGUGAGAUGUACGGAGCAGACCUGGAC
rnacentral:lncRNA from 1 species